rnacentral:rRNA from 1 species
GCUGGCACAGCGAUAAGGGAACCUCGAGUGCCAGGUUACAAAUCUGGCUGUCGAGAUGCCUAAAAAGCAUUUCAUAGCAAGGGCCGGGCAAGACCGGUGCCAGCCGCCGCGGUAACACCGGCGGCUCGAGUGGUAACCGUUAUUAUUGGGUCUAAAGGGUCUGUAGCCGGCCGGAUAAGUCUCUUGAGAAAUCUGGCAGCUUAACUGUCAGGCUUUCAGGAGAUACUGUCUGGCUCGAGGCCGGGAGAGGUGAGAGGUACUUCAGGGGUAGGGGUGAAAUCUUGUAAUCCUUGAAGGACCACCAGUGGCGAAGGCGUCUCACCAGAACGGACCUGACGGCAAGGGACGAAAGCUAGGGGCACGAACCGGAUUAGAUACCCGGGUAGUCCUAGCCGUAAACGAUACUCGCUAGGUGUCGGCCACGGUGCGACCGUUGUCGGUGCCGUAGGGAAGCCGUGAAGCGAGCCACCUGGGAAGUACGGCCGC